rnacentral:rRNA from 1 species
AGUGAACGCUGGCGGUAGGCCUAACACAUGCAAGUCGAACGGCAGCACAGUAAGAGCUUGCUCUUACGGGUGGCGAGUGGCGGACGGGUGAGGAAUACAUCGGAAUCUACUUUUUCGGGGGGGAUAACGUAGGGAAACUUACGCUAAUACCGCAUACGACCUACGGCUGAAAGCAGGGGAUCUUCGGACCUUGCGCGAUUGAAUGAGUCGAUGUCGGAUUAGCUAGUUGGCGGGGUAAAGGCGCACCAAGGCGACGAUCCGUAGCUGGUCUGAGAGGAUGAUCAGCCCAACGGGAACUGAGCCACGGUCCAGAUUCCUACGGGAGGCAGCAGUGGGGAAUAUUGGACAAUGGGCGCAAGCCUGCUCCAGCCAUACCGCGUGGGUGAAGAAGGCCUUCGGGUUGUAAAGCCCUUUUGUUGGGACAGAAAAGCAGCAGGUUAAUACCCCGAUGUUCUGACGGUACCCAAAGAAUAAGCACCGGCUAACUUCGUG